rnacentral:lncRNA from 1 species
UGUGUCAUCAAGUCUCCAGGCGCUAUGUCAAGCAGUUUCUAGUGUGUCCGGCACUGUUGGUGUCGAACUGCCUUGCGAUUCCCUGGGACUUAACGAGGAGAUACUUUGCACUGGCAACAUAAAGUUGAAAGCGCCAAGCACACUUGAGCUUGAGGAGUGUGUUGGCGACUACCUCCAGACUUGCAAAAAUAAAAAGCCAGUAACCGAACCAACGAUAACAGGCCUCGUCAGAAUAAUCGCGUGCCUCAUCUCAACCGCCCUGCAUACCAGUCCUGCCGAUGAAGCUCAAGACUUGGCAUGCCUCCUCGUAAGACUGCCAGCUACAGUUAUUGGGAGCCCGGCAUAUCACACAUUGGAACCAUUUGUUGAUGCAAUCUCUCAGGCUUUCAACAUAGAUUGCAGUUCCACUGUGUUCUGCUGAGAUUCGCGAUACUCACUUGUUAUCCUCUGCGAAGCUCGAGAAACCUACAUACAAGAACACGAGAUCUUCACAAUAUGUACUAAUGCGUUAUCAACAAUAUACACUUCACAAACAUUAAGAAGAGUGAAAUGAAAGCGCAAAAUUAGGGAAAUUAAAACGCCAGAUGCUUAUACAAGUGCUUCGGCAACUUCAGAUGUUUAUGCAAGGCGCAAGUAAGGACUCCUUCACUGACACUAAAU